rnacentral:tRNA from 1 species
AGAAAGGUAGGUUAUGGUUAAACCCUCAGACUCAUGCUCUGAUUAAGUAGAAUUACCCUUUCUA